rnacentral:rRNA from 1 species
CCUACGGGCGGCAGCAGUGAGGAAUAUUGGUCAAUGGACGAGAGUCUGAACCAGCCAAGUAGCGUGAAGGAUGACUGCCCUAUGGGUUGUAAACUUCUUUUAUAAAGGAAUAAAACGAGGCACGUGUGCCUUUUUGCAUGUACUUUAUGAAUAAGGAUCGGCUAACUCCGUGCCAGCAGCCGCGGUAAUACGGAGGAUCCGAGCGUUAUCCGGAUGUAUUGGGUUUAAAGGGAGCGUAGAUGGGUUGUUAAGUCAGUUGUGAAAGUUUGCGGCUCAACCGUAAAAUUGCAAUUGAUACUGGCAGUCUUGAGUACAGUUGAGGUAGGCGGAAUUCGUGGUGUAGCGGUGAAAUGCUUAGAUAUCACGAAGAACCCCGAUUGCGAAGGCAGCUUACUAAACUGUGACUGACAUUGAUGCUCGAAAGUGUGGGUAUCAAACAGGAUUAGAUGCCCGGGUAGUC